CCUACGGGUGACAGCAGUGAGGAAUAUUGGUCAAUGGGCGCGAGCCUGAACCAGCCAAGUAGCGUGAAGGAUGACUGCCCUAUGGGUUGUAAACUUCUUUUAUAAAGGAAUAAAGUGAGGCACGUGUGCCUUUUUGCAUGUACUUUAUGAAUAAGGAUCGGCUAACUCCGUGCCAGCAGCCGCGGUAAUACGGAGGAUCCGAGCGUUAUCCGGAUUUAUUGGGUUUAAAGGGAGCGUAGGUGGGUUGUUAAGUCAGUUGUGAAAGUUUGCGGCUCAACCGUAAAAUUGCAAUUGAUACUGGCAGUCGUGAGUACAGUUGAGGUAGGCGGAAUUCGUGGUGUAGCGGUGAAAUGCUUAGAUAUCACGAAGAACUCCGAUUGCGAAGGCAGCUUACUAAACUGCCACUGACAUUGAUGCUCGAAAGUGUGGGUAUCAAACAGGAUUAGAUACCCUUGUAGUC
rnacentral:rRNA from 1 species